rnacentral:tRNA from 1 species
AUGCUUGUAGCUCAGGUGGUUAGAGCGCACCCCUGAUAAGGGUGAGGUCGGUGGUUCAAGUCCACUCAGGCCU